UGAACGCUGGCGGCGUGCCUAACACAUGCAAGUCGAACGGAGAUUACGGACGGAAGUUUUCGGAUGGAAGCCUGUAAUUCUUAGUGGCGGACGGGUGAGUAGCGCGUGGGCAACCUGCCCUAUACAGGGGGAUAGCAGCUGGAAACGGCUGGUAAGACCGCAUAAGUCGGUUAAAUCGCAUGAUUUGAUCGGGAAAUGAGCAAUCAGGUAUAGGAUGGGCCCGCGUCCGAUUAGCCAGUUGGCAGGGUAAAAGCCUACCAAAGCGACGAUCGGUAGCCGGACUGAGAGGUCGGACGGCCACAUUGGGACUGAGACACGGCCCAAACUCCUACGGGAGGCAGCAGUGGGGGAUAUUGCACAAUGGAGGAAACUCUGAUGCAGCGACGCCGCGUGAGUGAAGAAGUAUUUCGGUAUGUAAAGCUCUAUCAGCAGGGAAGAUGAUGACGGUACCUGACUAAGAAGCCCCGGCUAACUACGUG
rnacentral:rRNA from 1 species